rnacentral:rRNA from 1 species
UACGAAGGCCCCGAGCGUUAUCCGGAUUUAUUGGGCGUAAAGCGUUAAAAGGCGGUUUGGUAAGUCACUGGUUAAAUCCCACAGCUCAACUGUGGGGCCGCUGGUGAAACUGCCAGGCUUGAGGCUGGAAGAGGCAAGCGGAACUACCGGUGUAGUGGUAAAAUGCGUUAAUAUCGGUAGGAACACCAAAGGCGAAAGCAGCUUGCUGGUACAGUCCUGACGCUGAAUAACGAAAGCGUGGGGAGCGAAUGGG